UUUUCUUUUUUCUUUUCAGUGAAAAUGUAGAAUGUUUGACUGUUCAUGAAUAGCUUGUUCCCUCGGAAAUGUCAGCCUUUCAUACAAAUACACAGAAGUUGAAAUUCAUUACUCAUUUAUCAAAGGAAGUGCCAAGCAUAAAAAUGAAUCAGUGAAACUCAAUCCAAAGGCUGCUUCAGGGAUGUGCUCACCUCCUCAGUCCUGUUUCUGGCUUCACUGAGAUGGAUCAGAGGUCUCUGAUAGAUCUUUUCUGGAGGUGGCUGAGACCUGACAUGUUUCGAGAAUCCACUAAACAGUGAUGAUUUGCUGAACAAAUACUACAGAUCGAAGCAGACCUCAAUUUUCAAGGAGUAUGCUUGCAACUGAAAGCGUUGUGACUUUGACAUGAAUUUCAGGAACUGUCUUUAUCUCAAUCAGUGAGCACCAAACUAGCACAGUUUCAAUGGAUGCUGUUUGGGACCUGUGAGAUCAUUCCCAAAAGGCAGAUGUGAGCACUGUCAUUAGAGGGGCAGAAACACUUCACCUGCCUUUGAAAUGCUGUUUUGUCUGCAUGGAAAGACUUGUAGCUGCAAAUUGUGUAAGGCACUCUUCCAAGCAAAGAAAUGAAGUGCUGUCACUGGACAGUAUAGGAGUCUGUGUGCAGCUGGGAUGAAAAUGUCAGACAUCAGUAACCCUAAACAUUUAUAUUUGGGCUUGCACUACUCUGGAUGGCAAUUUGCAAGACAAAGCUGUUCCAAGUUGUCAAGACAACGUCUACAGAAUUGUCAACAACAAUUAAAGAAGCCAGAGAGGAUUUCUGUUGUUUCACUGAAAAUAUAGGCAAUAUUAGAGGAGUAAGAGAGUUUGGAAGAACUGGUUAAAAGUUAGUUUUCCUUGGAGGGAAGAGUGUGGGCAGUUGUGUAAAUAAAUACAGAGGUGGAGAACGUCCGUAGGCAGGGUAAACUGGAGAGCAAGCAGAAGAAAGUUCAAAGACUUUUAUAGAGUUCCUGUGAUUUUAUAUCCUUAAAAAUAAAAAAUAAAUAGAAAAUGUCUAUCUUCCUCCUCUGCAAGAAUGAAGUCUGCAAAGCAAGGCACUGCUGUUGAUUUUGGCCAGUAGCCAGCCAGAUAAAGAAAGACCAGCGGGCAUGUAAACAGCUUGUGCACAUCUCAAUGGGAAAUAUACUUCAAAGCUGAGUUCUAGAAGCAAAGAUUCAAACAUGGAUUUUUUCACCUGUU